AUUGAACGCUGGCGGCAGGCCUAACACAUGCAAGUCGAGCGGAUGAAGGGAGCUUGCUCCUGGAUUCAGCGGCGGACGGGUGAGUAAUGCCUAGGAAUCUGCCUGGUAGUGGGGGAUAACGUCCGGAAACGGGCGCUAAUACCGCAUACGUCCUGAGGGAGAAAGUGGGGGAUCUUCGGGCCUCACGCUAUCAGAUGAGCCUAGGUCGGAUUAGCUAGUUGGUGGGGUAAAGGCCUACCAAGGCGACGAUCCGUAACUGGUCUGAGAGGAUGAUCAGUCACACUGGAACUGGGAAACGGUCCAGACUCCUACGGGAGGCAGCAGUGGGGAAUAUUGGACAAUGGGGGAAAGCCUGAUCCAGCCAUGCCGCGUGUGUGAAGAAGGUCUUCGGAUUGUAAAGCACUUUAAGUUGGGAGAAAGGGCAGUAAGUUAAUACCUUGCUGUUUUGACGUUACCAACAGAAUAAGCACCGGCUAACUUCGUG
rnacentral:rRNA from 1 species